UACGGAGGAUGCAAGCGUUAUCCGGAUUUAUUGGGUUUAAAGGGUGCGUAGGCUGUUUGUCAAGUCAGGGGUGAAAUACCUGAGCCUAACUCAGGAACUGCCUUUGAUACUGGCAGGCUGGAAUACGGAUGCCGUGGGAGGAAUGAGUAGUGUAGCGGUGAAAUGCAUAGAUAUUACUCAGAACACCGAUUGCGAAGGCAUCUCACGAAUCCGUCAUUGACGCUGAGGCACGAAAGCGUGGGGAUCAAAC
rnacentral:rRNA from 1 species